rnacentral:miRNA from 1 species
UGAGUUGGCCAAAAAGUUUGUUUGGGUUUUUCUGUAACAUCCUGUAGAAAAACCCAAAUGAACUUUUUGACAGCCCCAA